UACGUAGGGUGCAAGCGUUGUCCGGAAUUAUUGGGCGUAAAGAGCUCGUAGGCGGCUUGUCGCGUCGGCUGUGAAAACCUGGGGCUCAACCCCGGGCCUGCAGCCGAUACGGGCAAGCUAGAAUUCGGUAGGGGAGACUGGAAUUCCUGGUGUAGCGGUGAAAUGCGCAGAUAUCAGGAGGAACACCGGUGGCGAAGGCGGCAUCCUGGACCGACACUGACGCUGAGGAGCGAAAGCCAGGGGAGCAAACGGG
rnacentral:rRNA from 1 species